rnacentral:lncRNA from 1 species
UGAAGUAUAAAUUGAUAUCUUUGAUCAAUUGGUGAAGAAAACUUGUUAAGGAAGUCACACAAGAUACCCAGAUGAAUUAGGGAUUCCAAGGCAAACAAGCUUCAAACUCUUGAUGAAUUCUCGAUCAAAAUGAUCAAUAAAGAACAUGGUAUCCAUAUAUGAUGCUUAGAACCAAUGUAAACCUUUCCUUGAUUGAUUUUUUGCAUUGAGG